GGGGCGGAGGAGGGCGGCCUCUGGUGACGUGUCGAGGUCCUGGCGCGCACAAUGGCCGGGGCGGGCGGUGGAGCCCGAGCCCCACCCAGUGCGGAGCGUGCCGCGGCCCGCGCAGGAGGCUGAGCGCCGCGGCCGCCGAGCGCGCCGGCGCCGGGCCAUGUACUCGGGGAACCGUAGCGGCGGCCAGGGCCACUGGGAGGGCGGCGGGGCCGCGGGCGCCGAGGGGCCGGGACCGGCGGGGACGCUCAGCCCCGCGCCGCUGUUCAGCCCGGGCACCUAUGAGCGCCUGGCGCUGCUCCUUGGCUCUAUCGGGCUGCUGGGCGUCGGCAACAACCUGCUGGUGCUUGUCCUCUACUACAAGUUCCAGCGGCUCCGCACUCCCACCCACCUCUUGCUGGUCAACAUCAGCCUCAGCGACCUGCUGGUGUCCCUCUUCGGGGUCACCUUUACCUUCGUGUCCUGCCUGAGGAACGGCUGGGUCUGGGACACCGUGGGCUGCGUGUGGGACGGGUUUAGCAGCAGCCUUUUCGAGAAGAGUUCCAGUCACAAAUGCAUGUGUGAUGCAUUUUGACAUUUACUGCUAAGAUGAAAUACAGAAAUGAAAACCACACAUCCGUUUUAGUGUUCUCAGAUGUGAUUAGAUAUAUUUUAUCAUAUUUUUAUGCUACUGACCUAAGGAAAACAGUAUUAAGAAAGGGUGACAGUUAAACAGCUAGGACCUGCAGCCUCAGUACUUCUGGGAUGAACUGGAAUAUCACAAGGAGAGAUUUAUUACGGCACGUUCACGUCCCAGCUGAGCCCUCAGCCUAGACUCAUACGUGUUUCCUUUAUCGGCAGUUGUCAGCAGACGCUUUAUCUUCCAGAAUGGCGGACAGUCUCCCCACAGAAUUCGAUGUGAUCAUAAUAGGGACAGGUCUGCCUGAAUCCAUCCUUGCAGCUGCGUGUUCAAGAAGUGGUCAGAGGGUUCUGCAUCUCGAUUCAAGAAGCUACUAUGGAGGAAACUGGGCAAGUUUCAACUUUUCAGGAUUGCUUUCCUGGUUGAAGGAGUACCAGCAAAAGAGUGAUGUUGCAGAAGAAAGUACUGCCUCGUGGCAAGGCCUGAUUCAUGAAACAGAAGAAGCCAUCACUCUGCGCAAGACGGAUGAAACCAUUCAACACACAGAAGUUUUUUGUUAUGCCAGUCAGGAUAUGGAUGACAAAAUUGAAGAGACUGAUGAUGCUCUGCAGAAAAAUCCUUCCUCACUGACAUCUAGUACUGUCACUAAACCUCUGGAUUCUGCAUGCUUGUCUGAAGAAACACACUCAUAUGUCACUAGCUACGAAAUGCCUGCCAAAGACAUUCCAAAAAAUGAUGGAGAGAUUUCACUAGAAGUAAGUGGUGUAGAGGGCACCUUGGCAGAAGAAAAAUAUUGUGGAGAUGAAACUUGUAGACACACAGUUUCAGAUGGAGAUACAGAUGAAAACAAACCUAUAGAGGAAGACAACAAUGAUCAACUAAAGAGAAAUAGGAUUACUUACUCUCAAAUAGUUAAAGAAAGCAGGAGGUUUAAUAUUGAUUUGGUAUCAAAGCUCCUGUAUUCUCAAGGGUUGCUAAUUGAUCUUUUAAUCAAAUCAAAUGUUAGUCGUUAUGCAGAAUUUAAAAAUGUCACUAGGAUUCUUGCAUUUCGAGAAGGAAAAGUAGAACAGGUGCCUUGUUCCAGAGCAGAUGUCUUCAAUAGCAAAGAACUCACUAUGGUUGAAAAGAGGAUACUAAUGAAAUUUCUCACAUUUUGUUUAGACUAUGAACAACAUCCUGACCAAUACCAAGCUUUCAUGCAAUGCUCAUUUUCAGAGUACUUAAAAACUAAAAAAUUAACCCCCAACCUCCAGCAUUUUGUACUGCACUCCAUUGCAAUGACAGAAUCAUCUUGCACUACAAUAGAUGGCCUUAAAGCAACAAAAAACUUCCUUCAGUGUCUUGGACGGUUUGGCAACACUCCCUUUUUAUUUCCCUUAUAUGGCCAAGGAGAAAUUCCCCAGUGUUUCUGCAGGAUGUGUGCAGUUUUUGGUGGAAUCUAUUGUCUUCGCCAUAAAGUUCAAUGCCUUGUAGUUGACAAAGAAUCUGGAAGAUGUAAAGCAAUUAUAGAUCACUUAGGUCAAAGAAUAAAUGCUAAAUAUUUUAUUGUGGAGGAUAGUUACCUUUCUGAGAAAACAUGCUCAAAUAUACAGUAUAAGCAGAUCUCCAGGGCAGUGCUCAUUACAGAUCAAUCUAUACUAAAGACAGAUUCAGAUCAGCAAAUUUCCAUUUUGAUAGUGCCUCCAGCGGACUCAGGAACAUGUGCCGUUCGUGUCACUGAAUUAUGUUCUUCAACCAUGACGUGCAUGAAAGACACUUAUCUGGUACAUCUGACCUGUUCCUCCUCUAAAACAGCAAGAGAAGACUUAGAGUCAGUAGUAAAGAAACUAUUCACUCCAUAUACUGAAGCAGCAACAAAUGAGGAGGAACUUACAAAGCCAAGACUCUUGUGGGCUCUUUAUUUUAAUAUGAGAGAUUCCUCCGGAGUCAGCAGAAGCUCAUAUAAUGGCUUACCGUCCAAUGUUUAUGUCUGCUCUGGGCCUGACUGUGGACUGGGAAAUGAGCAUGCGGUCAAGCAAGCUGAAACACUGUUCCGGGAGAUCUUUCCAAGUGAAGAAUUCUGUCCCCCACCUCCAAAUCCAGAAGACAUUAUCUUUGAUGGUGAUGAUAAACAACCAGAGGUUUCUGGAACCAAUAACAUAAUCAUGGCCAAACUAGACUCCUCUGAGGGAAGCAAAAACCUAGAAAGCCCAGGGAAACAUCUUGAAAACUAGGAAGAAGCAAACUGGAAGUGCUAUUUUGGGCCUUCGUCCUGGCAUCAGAGUAUUUUCAUUUAGAGGACAGUUUCCUAUAUGAGUAAUUAGAACUGGUUAUAUGAUGGAUGCUGUGUAGAUGUUCUCUUUAGUUCUGUUUGAGACAUCAGUCAUUGGAUGUCUUUGUUAACCUAUAAGUAACUGAUUGACUGUUGGACAAGGUUAACUUUAUUUUAGUAUUGGGUGUAUAAGUGAGGGUUCCAUAUUAGCAACUGUGCUUAACGGCAGGUAAUAUAUAUCUACUAAUGAUCUUCCAAUUGUAUUUGUCUAUAACAACAAUAAUACCUAAGGAAUAUUUUAAUUAGUUUUGCAGUUAUUACAGUUGCUACCACCUCUGAAUAGUUACACAGUAAAUUAUGUGGGUGUUUUGUAUAUGAUAUCAAUGUACAGACAUGAUGGUAGCAAUAGCAACUUAUGCAAGUGCCAACUGUUAAAAGAUUAGCUUUGCAUGUUCCUUUAUUUGUCAAGGUCUGGUGUUUACAAUACACUUUGCAGUUCAGUUCCACUUUGCAGUUCAGUUCCCCCAUUUGACUCUUGUUAACCUAUGAGUCAGGGACACCACCACAAUCAAAAGAUUACAGAAAGUGCUGGAGAAUUCAUUUAGUCAUUGAAGAGUUCAUUCUUGGGAAGUUUGUCCCAAAGGAAAUCUAGGGCGUAAGGUUAGUUCUGAUUUAAUACUUCAGAAAAUUGCUGCAGAGCCCUGUGCUGGCACCUAACAGAAAAGAACUUCCAACAACUCUAACUCAGGCCAAAAGGAAAAAAUAUCUUGCCCCCAGGAAAAGGUACUUCAGAUUGGCUGUUAUGAAAUUCCUAAGAAGAAAUGGAGUGAGGCAUUUCUAACCUGGGAUUACAGAUGGUUUCUCAAAACCAUCCAUAGAUUUCUAAACAACAGAAACAUUUUUUUUCAGAACCAUCAGAAGCCAAAACUGUUGUACUACAGGUGUGAAUAUCUGUGGAGUUGCGAGAAGAGGUAAACUCCAUCCACUUCAGUCUCCUGUUUCUGUUCCUUAGAAUGAUAAUCCUAUAGGAAGAGAGCCCAUUAAGCCAAUUUUUUGUUCUGGAAUGGAGCAUUUCUAUGUGUUAGGCGCUUAUUGUGCUUUCUAAUUACAGUUUCUCAACAACCCUGUGAGGCUGAUAGUGAAUAGAUUUUUAAGGAAGAAAGACAAUUAUUAAUAAUUUGCUCAGGGUCUGGUACAUGUAGAAGAGCCAACAGUGGAAUCUAGGCUUUCUUCUAACAUUAACUGUUAUAAGAGUGCCUGUACUGCGGGAGGGGAAACAUGCUCCUGGAAGUCAGUGCAGCAUUGCUCCAGACUCGGGUCUCUCAGCUGAUUUUCAUCAGGGAAAUGGGAAGAUUAGGAUUAAUUAAAAAUAUAGUUUAGAGCAGUGGAGCUCCUGGCAGCAGAAUUUGGCUAAGUUUUGACAAAGGAAUGCUUUUUAGAGUAUCUUUUGAUCUGAACAACAUGUUUAUAAGAAAUGCAGAUGUUACUAGGCUAAAAGGUGAGGAAAAGGAGAAAAAGAUUUAAGAAAUUUACAGCUUACUGGAAACAAGUCGUGAAUUGGUCUUAAUAUUUAUGCAUAUUUUGAAUGUGAUAAAGUGGUUUUAUAGGGUAUAUUUUUAGGUUUAAACCCAUCAAGAUAAUUUCACCAUCUAUAGAACUAUACUUUGCUGAAUUAUUGUGAGGAUUAAGUUAGGUAAUAUGUAUGAAAUCCUAUCCAAAGGAAUGCCACUAGAUGACAUUAAUAUAUAGAUUUAUUACACUUCCACUCACCAUUCCAACUGAUACUUUGAAUAAUUUGACAGAAUUGUAUAAAGUAGGAAAAUAGGCAAGGAAAGAUAGAUUUGUCUUUUUAACUUAGGGGAAAAAAAAUGAGAGUCUUUCCCUUAAACCCCCUACUCAGCAUCAUAGUAUAUUUAGAAAGUUUAGGAUUUAAAGACAAACCAAUUAAAAAACAAGUAAUUAUGAAAUAACUACUGGUGGAAAGACUAGCCUGGAUGUCAGUAUGAAAAAAGAAUUGGGCCCACUUUACAUAUGAUAAGGCCAUUCAUUCCAGAUGAAUUAAAAUGUUGAUUAUAAAGGUAAAAAUAAAAAGAUGACAAUUCUCAUCCCAGCAGUACAAAAAAAACUUUAUGGCAGUGAAAAACAUUAUUGGGAAAGUAGGUGAGAUCAACUAAAGAAAAAUGAAAAAUGGACACCAAACAGGAAGAAAAUGAAAAGAUUGGGUUAAGAAAAAAAGCUACUAGCAUUACACAUGAAUAAAGUGCUUAAUGUUUUUUAAAAAGUAGAUGCAAAUCCAUAAGGCUUUCUACUCUUUACUAAGCAUAUUAAUGAAAAGAUAGAGUACAAAUGAGAAGCUACAAAUAAAAGUGAAUUCUUGGAAUGAUAAUUCAGAUUUAAAUAGUGUUAAAAAUGCAAAUUGAAACAACUUUGACUUAGUUUAUGUUAAUACAGCAAAACAUUUUAAAGUUCACGUAUCUUCAUGUCAGUAGCAUUAUUAUAUUAGUAAUUUUUAAAAGAAUUAUUUAGAUGAUUACAACAAGAGCUCUGUAACCAAUCUUUUUUUGCUAGAUCAACUCACUUCGAUUAUCAUAUGCCUAGGGAAGUAUUUAAAAGAAAAAUAAGCUACUUAUACAAAGAUAUUUCUAGCAAUUUCAUUCAUAUGGGUUUUAAAAAAAAGCCCCAAAUUGGGAAAUGGAUGAGCAGAUUUUGAUGUAUUGGUAUUGCUGUUGUAGACUGUUAUAUAGUCAUUAAAUGAUAUUGCUAUAUGUAAAAUUGUAUGAACAAAUGUUAAGUGAGAUUCAAAAGUGUUAAAUUUUAUGUACUGAUUAUAUUUAUGUAAAAAUUUAGGUAUCUACAUUGAGAAGAAUCAGAAGAAAACAUGUAAUUAAUUGGAGUUUAACAAUAAGGGGUUCUUUAUUUUUUUUUUCUGUAAAAUAUUGUGUGCAAUACAAAUAAAAAAUAAUUGGUAACGUGGUUUA